GAUGAACGCUGGCGGCGUGCUUAAUACAUGCAAGUCGAGCGAACGGACGCGACGCUUGCUUCUUUGUUGUUAGCGGAGGACGGGUGAGUAACACGUGGAUAACCUACCUAUAAGACUGGGAUAAUUUCGGGAAACCGGAGCUAAUACCGGAUAAUAUUUUGAACCGCAUGGUGCAAAAGUGAAAGACGGUCUUUCUGUCACUUCUAGAUGGUUACCCGCUGCAUGAGCUAGUUGGUAAGGUAAAGGCUUAUCAAGGGAACGAUGCGUAACCGACCUGAGGGGGUGGUCGGCCACCCUGGAACGGGGACACCGUCCAGGCUCCUACGGGAGGGAGCAGUAGGGUAUGGGCCGCAAUGGGCGAAAGCCUGACGGAACGAGGCCGCGUGAGUGAUGGAGGUCUUCGGAUCGUAAUACUCUGUUAUUAGGGAAGAACAGAUUUGUAAGUAACUGUACACAUCUUGACGGUACCUAAUCAGAAAGCCCCGGCUAACUACGUG
rnacentral:rRNA from 1 species